rfam:Octopus bimaculoides Scaffold21656_contig_89, whole genome shotgun sequence.
UCUUACGGCCAUAUCAGGCUGAGAGCACCGGUUCUCGUCCGAUCACUGAAGUUAAGCAACGUCGAGCCUAGUGAGUACUUAGAUGGGUGACCGCUUGGGAAACCUAGGUGCUGUAAGCA